rnacentral:lncRNA from 1 species
GCCAAUUGGAUUUUGACCCAUGAGGGGGAUGUCAAUAAAGGUGGUUUAACGCAUGGAUAAUGCUACCCCAUAUUUUGGUAAUUGUUUUGGAUUUUAAACACUACAAAUUUUAUUAGUUAUAAAGUUUUAAAGGCAAUUUUAUAGGCAAAAGUAUUUUCUAUAUAUUUUAUUAUGAGGGAAUUCUUGUCCCAGAAGUUGAAUCAUAUGAAGAAAUGAUUUUACAAAUUUUGUUGCAUUUUAUUUGACUCGAUUUGGAGCUUUGAAUCAAAAGCUUAGUUCAAAACCAGAAAAUGAAAAAAUGGAAAAAAGAAAAGAAAAAUAAAAGAGAACCGGACCGACCCUUACUGGGCCGGCCCACUUACCGAGCAGUGGGCGCAGCCCAGCUUCACGCGCACCGAGCCGCAGUCGCUGCCAGGCGGGCCCCGCCUGUCAGCAUCGUCCUCCACCUUCAACGGCCGAGUCGGAAUUCACGCACAGGCAACGUUCCACUCCGAGCACGAUCACCACCGCGUCUCUCUCGCCCACGACCCCCAUCUCCGCAACCGACCGCGUCCUUUUAAAGCCCUUCACCCCCGCAGUCCAGUCCCUCUCCUCUCUAGCUCAAUUUCGCCACCAGGUUGCCCAAAUUUCUCACAGGAGA